UCUGGUGGUGAUAGCGGAGGGGAUCCACCCGUUCCCAUUCCGAACACGGAAGUUAAGCCCUCCAGCGCCGAUGGUACUUGGGGCGGGAGCCCCCGGGAGAGUAGGACGCUGCCAGGCGG
rnacentral:rRNA from 1 species